GAACGCUGGCGGCGUGCCUAAUACAUGCAAGUCGAACGAACGGAGGAAGAGCUUGCUCUUCCAAAGUUAGUGGCGGACGGGUGAGUAACACGUGGGCAACCUGCCUGUAAGUUGGGGAUAACUCCGGGAAACCGGGGCUAAUACCGAAUGAUAGAGUGUGGCGCAUGCCACGCUYUUGAAAGAUGGUUUCGGCUAUCGCUUACAGAUGGGCCCGCGGUGCAUUAGCUAGUUGGUAGGGUAAUGGCCUACCAAGGCAACGAUGCAUAGCCGACCUGAGAGGGUGAUCGGCCACACUGGGACUGAGACACGGCCCAGACUCCUACGGGAGGCAGCAGUAGGGAAUCUUCCGCAAUGGACGAAAGUCUGACGGAGCAACGCCGCGUGUAUGAAGAAGGUUUUCGGAUCGUAAAGUACUGUUGUUAGAGAAGAACAAGGAUAAGAGUAACUGCUUGUCCCUUGACGGUAUCUAACCAGAAAGCCACGGCUAACUACGU
rnacentral:rRNA from 1 species